rnacentral:rRNA from 1 species
AUUGAACGCUAGCGGGAUGCUUUACACAUGCAAGUCGGACGGCAGCACGAAGAGCUUGCUCUUUGGUGGCGAGUGGCGAACGGGUGAGUAAUGUAUCGGAACGUGCCCAGUAGCGGGGGAUAACUGGCCGAAAGGUCAGCUAAUACCGCAUACGCCCUACGGGGGGAAAGGGGGGGAUCGCAAGACCUCUCACUAUUGGAGCGGCCGAUAUCGGAUUAGCUGGUUGGUGAGGUAAGAGCUUACCAAGGCUAUGACGGGUAGCUGGUCUGAGAGGACGAUCAGCCACACUGGAACUGAGACACGGUCCAGACACCUACGGGUGGCAGCAGUCGAGAAUCUUUCUCAAUGGGGGCAACCCUGAAGGAGCGACGCCGCGUGGGGGAUGAAGGGCUUCGGCUCGUAAACCCCUGUCAUUUGUGAGCAGGUGUGAUUGUUUAAGAGAUGGUUACAUAGAUAGUAGCAAAAGAGGAAGGGACGGCUAACUCUGUGCCAGCAGCCGCGGUAAUACAGANGUCCCAAGCGUUGUUCGGAAUCACUGGGCGUAAAGGGUGCGUAAGCGGUA